GGCUACUAGGGUUCUUACUAUGCAUUUUGGUGUAUUGAAAAAUACUCUGAUGUCCGUCUUUUAUUUUUCUGCCAUUUUUCUACCUGGCUGGCUGGCUGGCUACACACACAGUGUGUAGGUUAUUUACAGUAGGAGAUGGGCUUCUAUCAUAUUCAAUCAUUCUAUUUGGGCUUCGAUCUAAAAAGGUAGCUAGCAAAUGUGAAACGGAUUAAAAUGACAAGAGUUGACAGCUGUAUGAGUUCACCAUUUACACAACAUAUGCUGCAACCUUUUGUAAUUUUUAUAGUGUGUUUCAUAUUGGCUGGCUUCCAACAAUAGCUGAAUUUGCAAAGCUAGCGAGCACCAAUUCAGUUUCAGUGGUGUUUGCUAUAAUCUUUGCUACCCGGGUUAAAUAAAGGUGAAAUAAAAUAAAUAAAUAAAAGUUCACUUGCGACAAUUUAGCUUUUGCAGCGAGACCAUUAAAUAUAUUUAAGACAAUGGUAGAAGAGAGUGUAGUUCUGUUCAGUUUGGAUUUCAGUUUAUCGCUAACCUUAUCACAGGGACUUUGAAGCACUAACUUACAUCAUCUGCAUGCUGAUUCCAUCUUUGACAACGCCACAUAAAUGGAAUAGGUACUAGCUAGCUUAAUAGUUAAUAUUUGCGCGCUAGCUCUGCAUAUUCAGCUAGUGUGUGUGUGUGCGCAAUUGACUGGAUUAACCUCACGUCAGUUACGUGCAUUGAGUGCCUUUCAGACAGUAGAUACGACCUCUCUGUUACCUAGCAAGCUAAGGAACUGGCAGUGGAUCAAACCAUUGUGAGGCAAAGGGUGGGGGGGUCGCAAUCUUUUGAAACUUAAAAACGCGCUAUUAAGUGUCUAUAAUCAGCACAAUUGCUUUCAUUGCGUAUUAUUAAUAUUAUUUAAAUUACAUAGUUAUGUUUCAGUGAUAUAUUGGGGGGGACAAAUCAUAUUUUUCCCAGGAUGGGGGGGUCGUGUGUCCCCCGUCCCCCCCGGGAUUUCCGCCCCUGUGUUCACAAUGUUGACAUCAGCAAACCGCUUGCCCACACGACACCAUACAAGCUGUCUGCCAUCUGUCCAGUACAGUUGAAACUGGGAUUCAUCCGUGACGAGGCAAAUGAUCAUCAAAAGUGAGCAUUCGCCCUCUGAAGUCGGUUAUGACGCCAAACUGCAGUCAGGUCAAGACCCUGGUGAAGAUGAUGAGCACGCAGACAGGCUUUGCUGAGAAGGUUUCUGACAGUUUUUGUUGAAAUUUAUCGGUUGUGCAAACCCACAGUUUCAUCAGCUGUCCGGGUGGCUGGUCUCAGAUGAUCUCGCAGGUCAAGAAACCAAAUGUGGACUUCCCUCCUGCCGUGGUUACACGUGUUCUGUGGUUGUGAGGCUGGUUGGACGUACUGCCAAAUUCUCUAAAAUGAUGUUGGAGGAGGCUUAUGGUAGAGAAAUGAACAUUGAAUUAUCUGGCAGCAGCUCUGGUGGACAUUCCUGCAGUCAGCAUGCCAUUUGCACGCUCCCUCAAAACUUGAAACAUCUGUGGCGUAUGUUGUGUGACAAAACUGCAAACUUUAGAGGGGCCUUUUAUUGUCCCCAGCACAAGGUGCACCUGUGUAAUUAUCAUGCUGUUUAAUCAGCUUCUUGAUAUGCCACACCUGUCAGGUGGAUUAUCUUGGCAAAGGAGAAAUGCUCACUAACAGGGAUGUAAACAAAUUUGUGCACAAAAUUAGAGAGAAAUUAGCAAUUUGUGUUUAUGGAAAAUUUCAGCUCAUGAAACAUGGAACAAACAGUUUACAUGUUGCGUUUAUAUUUUUUAUCAGUAUAUUUGAUGAGUUGCUGACCUGUCCGUCCACAGGCUCGAUCUGCUGUAGUCUCCACAACCGGGUCACACUGACACAGGAUGUCCAUCCACCAGGAUGCACAAAGAGACAUUUGGUAGGUCAUUUUCAAUGCUUUAAAAACAUAUUUCUCUUGACAGAAAACGCAUUGUUUAUCAUAACACAAACCCACCUUGGACAAUGUGACAAGUGGUCCCUUAACACCCAAUCGUAAGUCAUGAGAACCAUACACAAACAUGACAAACAUACUGACUCCGUGAAGGCCAUCCUUACUGGCACCAAGUCCAAGGUGAGCUCCACAUCACUGGAAGGGAGACCUGCUUCUACGUUGUGUGGACCAACAAAGCCUCUAUCGCCUCUGACAGACUCAUGUUGCUCCUCCUGUUUUCAGGAAAGCCAAUGGUCGAAAAAUAUUCCACACACUGUAGUUCACACACACACACACACACACACACACACACACACACACACACACACACACACACACACACACACACGGCUCCCAGAAUAGGUUAUAUUACAUACACGUUUUGCUCAAAGCAGCCAACUAAAGUAAUGUAGUUAACUUAAUCAUGGGCACAGUGGGAAUUUAUAUCUGUGAUGUUCAAAUGUUUUCUUACCCCCUGUGUAUUACUUGCUGAAGUCCCCAGUCGUCCCUGCCUGUACCUGACAUUGUUGAAAAAACAAGUGAACAAUGAAUAAAGAUCAUACACUCAUACACACACACACUAGGCACCUAGAAUAGGUUAUAUUACCUUCAAGUUUUGGUCAAACUAAACUAAUGUAAGUUCAAUCACAAAUGCUGGUCUCCUCAGUUUCAUUCAGUAGUACAACACAAUUCACAUUUUGUCAUGUGCACAGUGGGAAUUUAUAUCUGUGAUGUUUAAAUGAUGUCUUACCCCCAGAUUAAGAGAGAGAGAGAGAGAGAGAGAGUACAUCACUUCCAGCAGAUUCCCUUGCUGGGGUGGCAUUGAUCAUGCACUGCUUCAAUGUUUUAAACAAUAUUGUAUCAUUUGAUGAGUUUCUGUGUUUUGUGUGGGGAAAACAUUGAGCCCAGAAGUCCAUUGUGAGCUAUCAAGUCUACUUUAGCUAAUGUAGCUAACUAGCCAAGCAAGGUACCCGACUAGCUAACCCACCAGGCAAUGUUUACCGAGCUAGCUAGUUAACAUUGACUCACUGUUUGUGUAGUCAAGACUUUUUUUAAAAGUGGUGAUAUGCUAGCGAAUCAACUAUCCUUGCUAUAGUAACAGCCUAACAUUAGCUAGCAAGUCUGACUACACAAACGGAUGCCCACAAGCCUCACAAGACUCGUCUGAAGGUCCUGGGUACCAGUAAUGAAUGCCUCAAAACCGAAGACCACAUGUAACCACGCCAGGCCAGGACCUCCACAUCCGGCUUCUUCACCAGCGGGAUCAUCUGAGACCAGCCACCCGGACAGCUGAUGAAACUGAGGAGUAUUUCUAUCUGUAAUAAAGCCCUUUUGUGGGGGAAUGGUCUGGACCUGUGUCCUCCCAGGCCCAACCAUGGCUAUGCCUCUG
rnacentral:lncRNA from 1 species